rnacentral:lncRNA from 1 species
AUAUAUAUAUAAUUUCAUAGGAUUUGAUAUAGGAUUUUAGUCGAAAUUUUUGUAGAAUCUUUAUUGAAGCGUUGUAUUUAUUGAAUUAGGUGUGGUACGAUUAAGACCUUCAUUCCGGUUUUGAGUUUUUAGUCUCGACUUUAAGGUGAGGGAUUAUAUGCUUGUUGUUAUAUUCAUGUAUGCUUGAAUGUGUUUUUAGUUCAUAUUUGAUUAUGCUUGCUCAGAUACAUGUUUAGAUACAUGUUCAAGUACAUGAUCAGAAACGCAAAAUCAUGUUCAAGUACAUGAUCAGAACGCAGAAUAUCAUGUUCAAGUACAUGAUCAGAACGCAGAAUAUCAUGUUCAAGUACAUGAUCAGAACGCAAAAUAUCAUGUUCAAGUACAUGAUCAGAAACGC